rnacentral:tRNA from 1 species
GCGGACGUGGCGAAACUGGUAGACGCAGCAGACUUAAAAUCUGCUUUCCGAAAGGGAGUGUGGGUUCGAGUCCCGCCGUCCGCACCA